rnacentral:rRNA from 1 species
AACGAACGCUGGCGGCGUGCUUAACACAUGCAAGUCGAGCGGUAAGGCCCUUUCGGGGGUACACGAGCGGCGAACGGGUGAGUAACACGUGGGUGACCUGCCCUUAGCUCUGGGAUAAGCCUGGGAAACUGGGUCUAAUACCGGAUAUGACUCCAUGACGCAUGUUGUGGGGUGGAAAGCCUUGUGCGGCUAGGGAUGGGCCUGCGGCCUAUCAGCUUGUUGGUGGGGUGAUGGCCUACCAAGGCGACGACGGUAGCCGGCCUGAGAGGGCGACCGGCCACACUGGGACUGAGACACGGCCCAGACUCCUACGGGAGGCAGCAGUGGGGAAUCUUGCGCAAUGGGCGAAAGCCUGACGCAGCGACGCCGCGUGGGGAUGACGG